rnacentral:RNase_P_RNA from 1 species
GGAGUGGCUCGGGUGAUCGCGGCAGGUUCGACCUGUCGAGGAAAGUCCGGGCUGCACAGGGCAGAACGCCGGAUAACGUCCGGUGGGGGUGACCCCGGGACAGUGCCACAGAAAACAGACCGCCGGCCAUUAUAUGGCCGGUAAGGGUGAAACGGUGCGGUAAGAGCGCACCGCCCGGUCCGGUAACGGGCCGGGGCAGGGUAAACCCCGUUCGCAGCAAGGCCAAAUAGGGAAGCGCCAAACGUGGCCCGCGUUUGCUUCCGGGUAGGCUGCUCGAGCCUGUCAGUAAUGGCAGGCCCAGAUGAAUGAUCAUCACCGUUGCGGCAACGCAAUGGAACAGAACCCGGCUUACAGAGCCACUCCGCAU